GGACCAGUCAAGUUCUCAUCAGAAUGUAGAACACAUUUUCAUAGACUCUAUCACAACACAAGGGAUUGUUCAAGACCAGCAUACUACAAAAGAUGUGCAAGGUUGCUAACACGGCUAGCGAUGAGUCCACUUUGCUCACAAUCGUAGACAUUGCAUGCUCAAAAUUUUGAAAGAGGGAUAUAUGUUUUGCCCAGGAAGUGCCUUCAAUUCACAGCAGUCACAUUAAGAACAUAUUAUUGUAAUUGUUUAUAUUAUUUUUAUUUGUGUUGUUGAUACUGUAUGUAUAUGAAAAUGCUGGCAGCCUUUAUUGGUUUUAUGAAAUAGAUUUUCUUUUUAUCUUUAUGUAUCAUGUAUUUUUUAGAAAACCUUAAUUUAAUAUUGAAUACACCAAUUUAUUGAAAUGAUAUGUAUAUAAUUAAUCAAAAUAAUUCAGAAAUAUACAAUUAUUUUCUUAAAGUUCUCACCUAAUGAAGAUAUUUUUUUCUCAUCAUGUCUGAAUUAAUCUCACUUAAUAUUAUUUGCUUUGUCAAUAUUACAUUCUGAGACGGUCCUACCAUGGUCGUUGAGAUAUUUAUUUCACUGUCAUUGUCUCCAUUGUAUUUAAUUUGGCACUUGAAUGAUUCCAGUCAAUGAAA